GGACUAAUUUCAUUUUCUGCAGAAGAAAACCCUGCCAGAAGAAUGUCAGGAAAUCUCUGCUCUGGUGCUGAGAAAAGUACAAAAGGACAAGAUGAAGUGGAUUCUCAUAAUUCCAGGUUAACCAUGGAACAACCUGUGUGUGCAACUGUCCUUAGCCAAGCCCUGGACUCUUCAUUUCAUAAUCAAUAGGAACUGAUUCACGAUGAUAAGAACAUCCUUCUCUUAUGGAUAUAGCUUGUGAGACUGACCCUGAAGUGCCAAGUUCUCCCUGACUCAAACAUUAAUGUCCUUCUUAAGUCUCUAACACAAGCAACCAGUGGCAAGUACAACCUAGUCUGAAAAGCUUUCUCCUUAUGAGUUUUUAAUACAGUUAGUUCCCUCUCUGGGUGCUAAAUACCUGAUUUUAAAAUAUUUUUUCCAGUGCAGCCUAGAGAAAAGCCCUGGUACCUGAAAAGACCUGGCUGCUGUGUUUUAGUUCUCUCGAAUCUAGUGCCACCUUCCUUGUGCAACAUCCUGUACUUAGGAGUGUUCUAAAAGCAGCCAAGCAACUGAAGUCCAAAUUCCAUGCAAUCCACCUCCCUGGAGGAGCCCAAGAUGGUCCAGAAUACAGUGCCAUCCUCCUUUUAAAUCUGUGGACACAGGUGGCAUUUUCAAUUGCAAUUCCAUCAGAUAGAAGAUUAGGAGAAAUCACAACCAUUUGAUGCAAUUUUUAAUUUGCUGCCUUUCUUCUUGUGCUCAGCUGAAUUCCCAAGACAAAUCCCAGCUUUCACACUGAGCAAAAGGUGUCCCUUGUCUCCUUUCCUUCAGAGCAACUCAGGAUGUGACAAAGAAAGGAUCCUACAUUCAUGCAGCAUGACCUGAAGGCUCUCACAUUUUACCUAGAAAAGACAAAAGUGUUUCAGAUUAGCUGAUUCCUUCUGUGGGUUCUGUAGCAAUACAGAAAUGCAAAGCAGCUUGUGAAGUAUUGACUUCUCCAUGGAUUUGUUCCCCUGUUCUUGAAGCAUCACUCUGAGAAGGGGUCCUUUGUAAACGUCCAUUGGGCGAGGGCUCAGGUUGCUUCCAGGAGAAAAAGUGGAUACUAUAGAAGAGAUUUGCAAAGCAGCCACCUGGAAGCCUAGCUGCUCCUUUACUAAGCAUCAUAAGGUGCAUAUUAGUGACUCAUUUUAUUCACCUUUUGGGUAACCCAUUU
rnacentral:lncRNA from 1 species